rnacentral:rRNA from 1 species
UGAGCAACCUGCCCCUGGCUCUGGGAUAACCCCGGGAAACCGGAGCUAAUACCGGAUGCGAGACCGAUUGGCAUCUUUACGGUCUGGAAAGUUUUUCGGCCAGGGAUGGGCUCGCGGCCUAUCAGCUUGUUGGUGGGGUCAUGGCUCACCAAGGCGACGACGGGUAGCUGGUCUGAGAGGACGACCAGCCACACUGGAACUGAGAUACGGUCCAGACUCCUACGGGAGCA